CGUAAAGCAGGAAAUUGAUGCUGAAAUUGGUGUAGUAAAGAAGCAUGAAGAAUUGUUGUAGACACCACAGCAGAGCAGGUGUGUCCUUCUUCGCAAGAGUAAAGAAGAAUACGCAGAGUCGAAUGACAUAGCUGAAAACAAGAACAAGAGAAUCAUCCACACCAGCAGGCCAGCCUAGUAGAGACCAGGUUCCUGGAGGAGGAUCUCACGUCUGGAAAAUAGAGUCAGGGCGCGCUCGUUGAGCUUACGUAUACAUCGGGCCGCCACCUCCGGGAUUUGAUAGGUUGUUCGCGGCGUCGACGUCGCUGCCGUCGUAGGCGGCGGCUGGUGACGUGAAUGAUGGGAAUGAUUACUCUUUGAUGAGUGGAAUGAUUGUUGGGAUGGCUGCCGUCGACCGCCAACACCAGGAUCCAGUGUCAGUCCUGCUGGUCCAUUAUUACUGCUACUGGCACUCUGUGCAGAAAUCGAUAUAGGUAUCAUUUCAAAGAUCACUAUUAUUUGAGGGGACACAUUAUUAAGGUUCAGAUAGAUCUUGUAUUUAUGAACAGAUCUCUCAGUUGUCAAAGAAGCAUGGUAAUCUUUUCUUGAAGAGUGUAAAAAAAAGUUUGCAGACUCGGGUGUACGUGUCUUGGCAAACAGAUAUUUCUCAUUUUCAUAUUGAUUAAGGUGAUUACUGAAUCCUGUGUCUUGAGAAUACGUGAUUUUUAAAAAAAUUUUAGUUUUUUUUUUAAAUGUAGAUCGUUGCCGCGCGUUUGCCAUUACUUAUUUAUGUUACAUGGUGGGGGAGGGAGUAGAAUUCAUUAGAAUUUUCUUACAUAUUUUAUAAUAUUUACUUAAAUCCUAAACAAUCAUUAUUUUUCAAAGUACACGUGACCAUGUGGCCUAAGUAAAUAUUCACAGUAAUGCAUAUUAUUAAAUAUCACAGAAAAUCCAAUUAAUUUCCAAGAGAGUCAACGAAGAACGGAAGAGAAAAUUGCAUUUCCCACGUAAUUUAUUUGAGCCUGUAACAUCACGAAAUAUUCAGUUUUCAAGGCUCGCGCAAGAACAUUUUAAUUAACUACGAUUACAUCGGCUCAUAUAGUAAAUAUUAGUUCAAUCUAUCAUUCGUUAACCGUAUUAUUCACGUCGAUCUUGCUCAGAUUUAUUCAAGACGACAAUGGCACACACUGUACAAAAAGUUCUACCAUAAUAAUACAGUACACACCCUAAUCUUGCUUUGCACCCUUUGCACUUGGUAUAACAUUAGAAUUAUGAUGAUAAAAUUUGAUUUACCCUCUUUUAUUAUUGACCAUUAUUUGUUGCUUUUAAUUGGAAAAAAAAAACUUUUAAAAAAUUCGACUACUUUCCCAUAAAAGUUUAUACGAUAAAUAACACCUAAGAAAAACCGGAUAGAGAAUCGUGGUUACUCGGUUUCGCCUCGGGAAGUUUCGGUAAACAGGCAGAUUUUUUUCAUUUAUUACCUUUUUGAAUUUAUACCUGUCAGUCGUUAUUUGGAUCUCGAGUGCGCGGGUCAGUUGAUUAUAAUGGUAGAGCUGUUUUGAAGUGCUUACUUCAAUUACGGAUUUCAUCGCUUUUCUGUAAACUGGAUUCUGGAAUAUUGCUGAAUCGACCAUUUUAAAUGGGAAUUUGAUUUUGGAUCGAUGAAUGGACCACUUGAUUGACAGCUGAAUAUUCGUGGACCAGGAUCAUCGGAUCGGCAGAUUAUCCAUGGAUAAAUAACGCGGCGAAUUCAUCGUCGGUAAAGUCUUAUAGACGGGAAACCCUAUUAACUUUGAGCCAGUCAUACAUAAAUAUGGAUCUGUAAUGGGAAGUCGACUUAACCUGACUUUCGGGCACGUCUUGGAAAACUCUUUCGCAGAAAGUUAGCGCAGGGUGUCUCGCUCACGCUCUCGCGCCCUGCCUACAAGAGCGUCUCGCUCCGACUCACAGCGAUGUGACGAAAAUCCUGAAUUUUCAGAUUAAGAGUUACAGCGCCUACAUAACAUUGUCGUCUGCCUCGAGUUAAUUAAAUCUUGGAUUAUCUUAAUUUUGACACUUGGUCGUGGGUUCCCUACUAAACGUGUAAUCACGAGCUGACGCAACAAACGUAAAACUUUGAUAUACGGCCGAGCUGGAAAAGAGGUUGUUUUUAAGGGGUUUGAUCGUCAUUAGGAGCACCGAGGUCCUUUUCAAGAAAAUUCUAGUCACGCGGCGUUACAUAAUUUCCAAUAGAAACCCAUAUAACUCCAGUGGAUCGAUGUCGAACACAGCGGGAAUGUAUCGUGGGUUCCAGAGGGUCAUGACGCUAGGCUGCUGAUGCUGGACGUACGAUGAUUGAUGGGCGGAGAGUGAUAACCAAGGGCGCCAAUCAUCCCCUAUCGUGUGAUCAGUCCGAGAACAUCAGCGGGCAUCGCGUCUAUUUGUCAUUUUACUUUCAUUGCGACGAGUAUUUACUAAUGGUAUUAUCAUUUGUCGCUGAUGGUAAUACCAAGAUGGCGUCGACAGGGUUUUAGAGAACGAGAGGGAGAGACACGAGUUACAUGAAAAUACAUAUAAACCCUUAUGGCUGAGACUACGUUAUACUUGAUAACGAUAAGGAAGUAGAGCUCUUCGUUUGACGUAAUGGCCUAUUCUCAAUUGUAUCCAAUGAAUCGAGGAUUAAAUUUAUUUGCUGCCACAGAAAUUUAUCACUUGAGUUAAACAACUCUCGUUCUCUCUCGUUGGGGUAGCUCAUCUUGUAUUGGGAGAAGGAUGGAUAUCUUUUUUUUUUCUGAAGGGGAUUCUUUAUCACUACCACUGUGCUGUACAGUACUGAUUGAACGAAUUGAAUCAGUGUAUUCGAUAAUGGAUUGAAUUGGUAUAUUUUUUUUGGGGAAAGUGAGCUAUUUUCUUUCAUGAGACUUUUAUACGCAUGAAUGGUAUCGUCUUGCGUGGGUGAAAUGUUGCGCAGGGUUAGUUAAGAGCGAAGGAGCGGACGACGAUUGGUCGAGGGGGGAGGGAUGCUGGAAAAUAAAAGUGGGCGAAUAACUUUGGGUAGUGUAUUUUGAGAAAAUUUUCAAAGAUCUGACAAUCGAUUCAAUCAAAGGAAUUGACAGGAAUGAAUGUUAUCGAGGGAUCUUCUCGGGGUGGCUUUUACUCUUGGCAACGUGUCUCUAUGAUAAGCUGCCAUAUAUCAUGCGAUUGAUUGAUGCGAUAAAAAUGAUACCUAGUAAGGCCAUAACUGUUCGUUGGUAUAAAAUAGGGAUGACCGAUCCAACAUUUUUAUGGGAAUAUUAAAUUUGAAAUUUAUAUCAAUUUCAUAUAAAAUAUCGUUGAUCAAUGUUCUUCCGUACGUCCAGUACCUGUCAGUACUGUCAAUUUAAAUUUGUAAUCGGUUUCAGCAAUUGGGCCUAAUUUUAUCAAAAGCUGCACUCUGCUCGUGGCUCUCUGACGCUUUUAUGAAUUUUAAUAAGAAACAUGGAGCGCAGUGUAUUUGUCCUUUGUACUUUGUGCUUUGCUGUGUAUGUCUCUUUUUCAAGAAAAUUACAUAUGGCGUCGUACGUGUUCAAUCAAGGAACGUAAAUAUUUCGCGACGGUGCUUACGUUAUCGUCUUUAAAUUUAGUCCUUUAAUUACGUCAGGAUAUCGAUCCGAGCUUUACGCGCUUUUGUAUAUGCAUAAUGCAUGGGGUAAAUACGCUUA